rnacentral:rRNA from 1 species
ACCUAAUAGAUACCCCAGGUAGUCCACGCCCUAAACGAUGCGAACUGGAUGUUGGGUACAUUACGGUACUCAGUGUCGAAAGCUAAACGCGUUAAGUUCGCCGCCUGGGGAGUACGGUCGCAAGACUAGAAACUCAAAGGAAUUGACGGGGGCCCGCACAAGCGGUGGAGUAUGUGGUUUAAUUCGAUGCAACGCGAAGAACCUUACCUGGCCUUGACAUCUGUCGAAUCCUGCAGAGAUGCGGGAGUGCCGCAAGGAACGACAAGACAGGUGCUGCAUGGCUGUCGUCAGCUCGUGUCGUGAGAUGUUGGGUUAAGUCCCGCAACGAGCGCAACCCUUGUCCCUAGUUGCCAGCACAUCAUGGUGGGAACUCUAGGGAGACUGCCGGUGAC